UACGGGGGGGGUAAGCGUUGUUCGGAAUUACUGGGCGUAAAGAGCGUGUAGGCGGCCGCACAGGUCCGUUGUGAAAACUGGAGGCUCAACCUUCAGACGUCGACCGAAACCCCCUGGCUAGAGUCCGGAAGAGGAGAGUGGAAUUCCUGGUGUAGCGGUGAAAUGCGCAGAUAUCAGGAAGAACACCCGUGGCGAAAGCGGCUCUCUGGGACGGUACUGACGCUGAGACGCGAAAGCGUGGGGAGCGAACAGG
rnacentral:rRNA from 1 species